UGUUACAUCACUUGCUUAACAAAUUUUUCAGUUACUUCAAACGUCUUUGUCUUUUUGUUUUUAAUGUUCUUUUUAACAUUUCUAGUGUUCUAACAGUUCUAAUGUUUCUCUUAUUUUAUGCAAUCAAACUUCUCGUGCUUCAGCAUAUUUUACGCAACUCAUGACUGUUCUGCUGAUUCCUUGUGACCACAUUCACAAAGAGGUGCAGGGAUUAUUCACAGAAAUAUUCAUAUUUCAUUAUUAUGUUUUCUGCAAAAUGUAGCCAGAGGAAGAAGUUCAAGUGAGGAUUCAUGACAAUGAAGCAAGGAGGAGAAGGGUUUUAAGAUGGAGAAGCAGCAAUCUGCAAAAUAGAGCUGGGUGGAGGAAGUAUACAAACCGGCAAUGAUGCAUUCUGCAAAAUGGAGCUGGGUGGAGGAAAUAUUCAACACUCUCAAGAGAAAAUCUGCAAAGAGGAGCGAAUUGCAGAAGCACAUGGAACGAAUCAUACCGACGAACGCACAACUAGCAAAAUGAGGCAGUUGCAGAAUUAAAAUGAGCUAAUCAAAUCAUUGAAGAGGCAAUCUAAAAAAUACACCCAGCUAGAGAAGCAGCGAGGGGACAAUCUACAAAAUGGAACAAGGAGAAGGAGGGUUACAAAACGGUGAAAAAGCAAUUCGAAAAAUUCAGCCGGGUGAAGAAAAUAUUGAACACCAUCAAGAGGCAAUCUGCAAAAUGGAGCCGGAUGCAAAUAUAUAGGGACUGAUUCAGGUUAGUGAAAAAAACAACUGCAACAUGCAGGCUGCUGCAGGAUUCAGGUAAGUAAAGAACAGCGGAGACAGGAUUCAAGAUGGAUAAGCAGCAAUCUACACAAUGGAACUGGGUGGAGGAAAUAUUCAACACUGUCAAGAGACAAUCUGCAAAAUGGAGUGAGCUGCAGAAGCACACAUGCCGGAUGCAAAAAUAGAUGAACAGAUACAAGUUGGCGAAUGAAACAACUGCAACAUGUAGGCUGCUGCAGGAUUCAGGUAAGGUAAGAACAGCGGAGACAGGAUUCAAGAUGGAUAAGUAGCAAUCUACACAAUGGAACCGGGUGUACGAAAUAUUCAACACUGUCAAGAGACAAUCAGCAAAAUGGAGCAAGCUGCAGAAGCACAUGGAGCGAUUCAAACUGAUGAAGGCACAACAAGCAAAAUGGAUUCACGUUAGUAAACAACAGCGGAGACAGGAUUCAAGAUGCAUAAACAGCUAUCUACAGAAUGAAGCCGGGUGGAGGAAAUAUUCAACACCGUCAAGAGGAAAUUUGGAAAAUGGAACAGGGAGGAGGAGGGAUUGAAAUUGUGGAAGUGGCAGUAAAAAAAUGCAGCCGGGUGGAGGUGGGUUACAAAAUGGUGAAGAAGCAAUCUGCAAAAUACAGCCGGGUGGAAGAAAUAUUCAACACCGUCAAGAGGAAAUGUUAAAAUGGAUCAAGCUGUAGAAGCACAUGGAGCGAUUCAUACUGAUGAAGGCAAAACAAUGAAAAUAGAUUCAGGAACGUAAACAACAGCGGAGGAUGGAUACAAGAUGCAUAAACAGCAAACUACAGAAUGAAGCCGGGUGGAGGAAAUAUUCAACACCGUCAAGAGGAAAUCUGCAAAAUGGAACAGGGAGGAGGAGGGAUUGAAAUUGUGGAAGUGGCAGUAAAAAAAUGGAGCCGGGUGGAGGUGGAUUACAUAAUGGUGAAGAAGCAAUCUGCAAAAUACAGCCGGGUGGAAGAAAUAUUCAACACCGUCAAGAGGAAAUGUUAAAAUGGAUGAAGCUGUAGAAGCACAUGGAGCGAUUCAUACUGAUGAAGGCAAAACAAAAAAAAUAGAUUCAGGUACGUAAACAACAGGUGAGGCUGGAUAGAAGAUGCAUAAACAGGAAACUACAGAAUGAAGCCGGGUGGAAGAAAUAUUGAACACCGUCAAAAGGCAAUCUGCAAAAUGGAACGGGGAGGAGGAGGGAUUGAAAUUGUGGAAGUGGCAGUAUAAAAAAUCGAGCCGGGUGGAGGUGGGUUACAAAAUGGCGAAGAAGCAAUAUGCAAAAUACAGCCGGGUGGAAGAAAUAUUUAACAAAGUCAAGAGGCAAUCUGAAAAUGGAUCAAGCUGUAGAAGCACAUGGAGCGAUGCAUAAUGAAGAAGGCACAUCAAAAAAAAUGGAAUCAUGUAAGUAAACAUCAGCGGAGAUAGGAUUCAAGAUGCAUAAACAGCUAUCUACAGAAUGAAGCUGAGUGGAGGAAAUAUUCUACACUGUCAAGAGGAAA